rnacentral:siRNA from 1 species
GGUUCCGGUGCCGUCGGUGCCCUACCAAGACAAGAAACCGGGGGAAAUGACCCCUACCAAGCCCCACCCCUCCCGCCCGAGGCGCUUCGUCACUCGGGCGGGUGAACAUCACCGUUUGAGCUGGAUUUCGGGGCCCUCAACUCCCCUACUCUCAGCGCAAACAAACACAUCUGAAAAGGCAUCGGCCCCCGCUGGGACUGGCAUCCCGGUGCGAGGGCCUAACCACCAAGGAAGAAGAGAGCUUCCCG